UUCCGCCCACUUAGCCGACUCACCAAAGCCCUAUACAGAGCUGCAAGCAACACACACCAUGUACCACAUGCACACACGAGUCACACACACACACACACACACACACACACACUGUAGACACCCUCACAGUGCAUACCCAGACAGGCCUUCUGCAGUUCUUCUGCCCCCACCGACCUCCAUUCCUUCCAUGGCUUAAGCUGACUGGACUUCCCUCCCUAGCGUUGGGCUUCACCCUCGCACGCCGAGCGUUGGCGCUAACCCCGCGGGCACGGCCUUCACAAGGCCAACUGCGCAGGUCGGGGGCCAGAGCGGAAGUGACGCCUCUCCCCGCGCGCGAACGUGCGCUCUCCAUUCCGGAAGCCGUGGCAGUGUUUCCCGAAAGUGCGUCCCAACAGGAGGAGGGGUAUCUAGUCUUCCUUGGUUGUAGUCCUAAGAAGGCUGUCUUACCAGGCUUCUUCAGCUGAGGGCGGAAUUACAGAGCGCGACCCUACGAGUUUUCCGAAGACCUUUGGCUCCAUCUAGUGGCCCGAUCCUGUUAUGUCACCCCCAACCUUUUUCUCCUGGAAUUUGAAGAGAAAAAGGGCUCUGGCAGAGGGAAUUCGAAAGCUCCUACUGUAAACAGGCUUGGCAGAGCCAGAGUUGGCCCACACAGUAACUGUUGUGCCUCAGAAAGCUGAGCUGGGUGCAUGACAUUUCCUCACUGGCUCCCACAGAGAGGGCUGCAGCCGGCUUUCAUGGCAUUCUGAGAGGAGCCAUUUUCCAAUGUGUCUGGAGAGCACUUGUGCUGUCCCUGCUUAGUCAUGUGCUGGGGCGCACAGGGGAGGUGUGUGCACGUGUGAGUGCACACGUGUGUGUGUGCACACGCUCUUGUGUAUGAAGCAUGAGAAUUUCAGGGUUGUGCUGAGCUCUGCCAUGCUAACUGGCAUCAGGAAGAGACAUAUGCAAAAUCAUACUCCACACGGCCUCUAAAUUUAGAUAAUCUGUCAAUAUCCUGCACUAUGGGGCCUUCUUUCUCUACACUGUGAUUUAAAGGCUUAAAAAUAGAAACCAGAUUCAGCCCAUUGUAAAGCGAGGGAGGUUAAUGGUGCUGUCCAGGACAUCAGACAUCAGCUCCCACUGAUGUGGCCUCCCAGAAGCAGCAGCUCGGUUCACCCCAUCUCUCUCCUCAACCCUACCCCUGCCAACAGACACAGAAGCAAAAUGAUCAGGGGCCUGCGUCCCCUCUCCUGCUCUGCUCCUCCCCAGGAGUGUAUUCCUCACUUUCCCAACACUGGGACAAAAUGCCCAACACCUGCACCUUGAGGAGGGUUUAUUUGGCUCUUGGUUGAGUCCACAGCCAGCUGGCUCCAAAGAGUACCAGCAUGGCAGACAGUCACAGCAGAGGAAAGCUGUCAUCCAUGGCAGCUAGGAAGCAAGGGAAAAGAGAGCCAGGAAGGAAUACACCUUUCCAGGUCACUUUCCUGGUGACUCUCCUCUUCUGAUCAAACCGCAUCUCCUAACAGCACAUUCAGCCAUGAACUGAUUAAUCCACUGAACCACGCACCUUCCAAAAGCCCCGCUUCUGAACACAUGAGCCUUUUAGAUCUGAAGAGUAACAAGGAGCCACUCCUUGGCUAUUACAUUUUGGAUCUUGAGUGUCCCCCAUGGGCCAUGUGUUGAAGUCUUGGUCCCCAGUCCAUGGCAUCCCUGGGAGGUUGUAGAACCUUGAAGACGUGGGGCCUACUGAGAGGAACUGUCCUUAGGGAGGUACCCUUGUGAGGCAUAAUGAGUCCUGCCCCUUCCUCUCCGCUUCCCGGCCUCUUCUGCUUAGGCUCUGCCAUGAGGCAUUGUGCUGCCACAGGCACGAGGUAACAGGGCUAAGUGACUGAAACCUCUGGCCCUGUGAGCCAAAAUAAUCCUUUUUUCCUAGUAGGUUAUCUCAGGUAUUUGUAAUGGUGACAGGAACACUUUUGAGGAAAGGUUAACAGAAGCUGGGCAUGGAUGACAUCUAAGGUCCCAUGUCAGCCAGCACUUCUUUUUUUAAUUAAAUUUAUUGGUGCAUCUUAGAUAGACAUAAUGAUCCCAUUCCCCAUAGGGAAUUUGUACCUGUAAUCGAUACUCUUGAUCCUUCUAUCCCAUUCCCGUACCCUCCCUUCAACCCCUCUUCCCUUCCUUAUUUGUAAAGCUUUGUUUCCAUUUUUCCUUCUUUUCUCAUUUUCUUUUCCUUUCUCCUGCCCCCCUCCCUAGUUCCUCUAUGCACUUGAACACUUUCUUCCUAUUUCACAAUAUCUAUUACACAUUUUGGCCCUCAUUUACAUUAUACAUUUCUCACACAAGAGAAACAAUUUGGUGUGUCCGAUUUAUGUAACUUAAGAAUAUUGUGUCUAGGUGCAUACAUUUAGCUAUAAAUGCUUCAAGUUUAUCUUUAUGGCUGAGUAGUACUCCACUGAGUUAAAAAAAAAAACCCACAUCUUCUUUAUCCAUUCAUCAGUUGGUGGGCAUUUGGGCUGUUUCCAACAGUGGAUUUUUUUUUUUUUUUUUUUUUGUGGCACUGGAUAGUGAUUCUAGGGCUGUGGCAGCAAGCCUGCUGCAAACAGGACAAAGAGCAAAUCCCUCUGUUGGCAGGAGAGACAAGAGUAUGACUUUUUUCUAAACUACAGAUGUCAGUAUUCAGGUUUAAUUGUGGUGUUGACACUUUGCAAUAAAUAAGUGGGUUUGGGCCUUCAUUCUCUAAAAGGUUUGCCAUCACUGCUCUAGGGCCUUCUCACUGAGCUAUAACCCCAGUCCUUUUUUUAUUUACUUAUUUCUUUGUUUAUUUAUUAUUGAGACAGUACGUUGCAAGUCACUACAUUGCUCAGGCAGGGCUCAAAUUUGCAAUCCUCCUGACUCAUCCUCCUAGAGUGCUGGGAUUACAUCGUGUUCAGCUACCACCCAGCACUUUUGAGUGCAUGGAGGUGGGGUGGUGGUACAAAAGAGAACAAGAAAGCAUCAUCAGCACUGCAGGGCUCAGAAUGGCUAUGACAAGAGGUUCAGGCCACCAUCUGCCUUAGGAGCAGACCAGUGACUAGGGAUGAUGACCCGUGACCCAUUGACAGCCAGUGCCUCUUCUGCUCACUACAACCCCAGAAGUUAACAGAUCCACCAGGCAUUGCUCUAUUUUUUGUUCCCUGCCCUAUUUAUUCUUAUUGCCCUAUUUUUUAAAUUAUUUUUACAUAUCAGUGGGGAAUUUAAAAGUGAAAUGUGGGUAGGACAGAAAUUCACUCUUUGGAUUCCCUUGUCUGUUUAAUCCCCAAGCAGAAUGGAUUCCUUACCAUCAAAAAGAUAUCGGGUUCCUUAUUAACCCCUUCUGUGAAAAGUAGGGCUGUAAGAGUACCUACCCC
ensembl:lincRNA